UUCAAAUUGUCAAAUUGCAUAAUUAUAUGGUCAAUGGAAACACAGAUGAAGAUUAAAAGGUUCCUCAAUCAAUCGCUAAUUAUUGAUCUGACCUGCCGAUUCCGAUUUUAGCCAAUACCAAUUUUUGUCUGAAAUUUUGCUCAAUAUAGCAAGAAAGUUGCUGACAUCGGGGUAACUGUUGUUUUCUGUAGACAUGCAGAAGGGCCUGGUCUGUCAGUGAAACCUGUCCGACUCCAGAUCAGAGGACAGAGGCUGAUUUCAGACCUUCACUGAGGUGGAUAAGAUCUGGGAGUAAGAUGGGCUUCACAUGGAAGUAUUUUCCAAUCACUGAAAAAAGCUGAAAAAAGUUUAUUUAACACGACACUGCCCCUUUAAAAACCAGCUGCUUAUCUCUCAUCUCUUCUCCUCUGACAGGCAGCGGCGUUUGCUUCAACCGUCACCGUCAAAGCCACUGCAGCAUCAACUAUCUACCUCAGUGGUUCCCAAAGUGUGGGGCGCGCCCCCCAAGGGUGGCGCAGUGCCAUUGCAGGAGGGGCGCGGGAAGCAGUAUGAAUGAAUGAAGAAAACAAAACAGUCACACAGUUAAAGUGUUUCACUGUAAAGAUGGUUUGUAGUUUGUUGCAACCUGAAGUGUGAAAUAAUCUUCAGUGGAGUUUGAAAACAAAAUACGUGUAAAGGUUUAUGUCUGGUUGAACAAUGUGAGCCCAGUUGGUUCUUUUUUCUUUUGGGGGUAUUUUAUUGUAAUCCAUAGGCCCAGAAAAUCUUUGGGAGCCACUGAUCUACCUGAUGACACACACAUCCACACACACAGCAGGGAUGGAGCGUUGUGCCUCUGUUCCCGCCGUGACGGAUGGAGCUCCUCGCUGAUGAAAUGGUCAACAGCCACACAGACUUUCCUUCCAUUGUCUGCAUGCCAAGCCGAUGUGGUCAUGGAUGCACUUCCCCCAGCCUCUCCAGCUCCAUCCACACACACACACACACACACACACACACACACACACACACACACACACACACACACACACACACACACACACACACACACACACACUCCGCUCUCAUCCAGCAGCCAAUAAGGGCCUGAUGAUCUCAAGUAUCACUAUAGCAGCAGGACUUAUUCUCUGAGUGGAGCCGGCGGAUUCUUACAGACCUUCAUCCUCAUCGCUGAGGGAGCUGCUCUUCCUCUUUUUGG